rnacentral:rRNA from 1 species
AGGCAUGCAAGUCGAGCGAUCGUAGCAAUACGGGAGCGGCAAACGGGGUAGGAAUACAUCGGAACGUACCUUUUGGUUGAGAAUAGCGUUGGGAAACUGACGGUAAUACUCAAUAAAGUCGAGAGACCAAAGGUUUACUGCCGGAAGAGCGGCCGAUGCGAUAUUAGGUAGUUGGUGGGGUAAUGGCCUACCAAGCCUGAGAUGUCUAGGGGGUGUGAGAGCAUGGCCCCCACCACUGGGACUGAGAUACUGCCCAGACACCUACGGGUGGCUGCAGUCGAGGAUCUUCGGCAAUGGGCGCAAGCCUGACCGAGCGACGCCGCGUGUGGGAUGAAGGCCCUUGGGUUGUAAACCACUGUCGAGGGGAAUGAAAUGCGUGUGGGUUAUCCCAUGCGUUGACGGAACCCUGGAGGAAGCACGGGCUAAGUUCGUGCCAGCAGCCGCGGUAAUACGAACUGUGCAA